AGCAGCUGCGGUAAUUCCAGCUCCAAUAGCGUAUAUUAAAGUUGUUGCAGUUAAAAAGCUCGUAGUUGAAUUUCGGGGUUCUACCGUUGGUCGGGCUUUGUCUGUACUGAUGUGUAGAAUUUCUACCUUCUGGGGAACCAUCAUGUUAUUAAUUUAGCGUGGUGGGAAACCAGGACCUUUACCUUGAAAAAAUUAGAGUGUUCAAAGCAGGCUUAUGUCUGAAUACAUUAGCAUGGAAUAAUAGAAUAGGACGGUGGUCCUGUUUUGUUGGUUUCUGAAUCACCGUAAUGAUUAAUAGGGAUAGUUGGGGGCAUUAGUAUUCAAUUGUCAGAGGUGAAAUUCUUGGAUUUAUUGAAGACUAACUUCUGCGAAAGCAUUUGCCAAGGAUGUUUUCAUUAAUCAAGAACGAAAGUUAGGGGAUCGAAGACGAUCAGAUACCGUCGUAGUCUUAACCAUAAACUAUGCCGACUAGGGAUCGGACGAUGUUAAUUUUUCUUGACUCGUUCGGCGCCUUACGGGA
rnacentral:rRNA from 1 species